rnacentral:rRNA from 1 species
CGGCCACAAAACGCCUGGCGUGGUCAAGUAUAACGAAUUUAUACGGUGAACGGCGAAGAGUUAUCAUAUCAGUUAUAGUUCAUUCGAGGCCUUCUACUCGGAUAACCGUAGUAAUUCUAGAGCUAAUACAUGCAUCAAGCCUCGACCGUUCGGAAGAAUGUAUAUAUAGAUUCGAAACCAAUGCGGGGCAACCCGGAGUGGGGUGAUUCAUAAUAUCUCUCGGAAUCGAUUUAUCGAUGCAUCAUUCAAGUUUCUGCCCUAUCAGCUUUGGAUGGUAGGGUAUUGGCCUACCAUGGCUUUAACGGGUAACGGAGAAUUAGGGUUCGAUUCCGGAGAGGGAGCCUGAGAAAUGGGCUACCACAUCCAAGGAAGAGCAGCAGGCGCGUAAAUUACCCAAUCCUGACACAGGGAGGUAGUGACAAUAAAUAACAAUGCCGAGCCCUUUAAAGGUUUGGCAAUUGGAAUGAGAACAAUUUAAAUCCCUUAUCGAGGAUCAAUUU